CUGCCGGUGGACUACCAAACUCUUGUUAUUUUAUUGUAAUCUGAGCGUCUUAUUUUAAUAAGUCAAAACUUUCAACAACGGAUCUCUUGGUUCUGGCAUCGAUGAAGAACGCAGCGAAAUGCGAUAAGUAAUGUGAAUUGCAGAAUUCAGUGAAUCAUCGAAUCUUUGAACGCACAUUGCGCCCAUUAGUAUUCUAGUGGGCAUGCCUGUUCGAGCGUCAUUUCAACCCUUAAGCCUAGCUUAGUGUUGGGAGCCUACUGCUUUUACUAGCUGUAGCUCCUGAAAUACAACGGCGGAUCUGCGAUAUCCUCUGAGCGUAGUAAAUUUUUAUCUCGCUUUUGACUGGAGUUGCAGCGUCUUUAGCCGC
rnacentral:rRNA from 1 species